rnacentral:tRNA from 1 species
UCCUGGUUAGCUCAAUUGGUUGGACGCCAGACUGCAGAGUGGGAGGUCGUGGGUUCAAAUCCCAGCCGGACCACAGACCAGGGU